UGUGAAUUCCAGAUAUGAGGACAUUCAGUAUAUUAGAAGAGGACAAAGAUUUGUUUGGCUUCCCAACCCAGGGAUCUGACCCAGGUCUUCCACAUUGCAGAUGGAUUCUUUACCAUCUGGUCUACCAAGGAAGCCCUUAUACUCCCUGCUAAGUCACUUCAGUUGUGUCCGACUCUAUGCGACCCCAAAGAUGGCAGCCCACCAGGCUCCCCCGUCCCUGGGAUUCUCCAGGCAAGAACACUGGAGUGGGUUGCCAUUUCCUUCUCCAAUGCAUGAAAGUGAAAAGUAAAAGUGAAGUCGCUCAGUCGUGUCCGACUCUUCGCGACCCCAUGGACUGCAGCCCACCAGGCUACUCUGUCCGUGGAUUUUCCAGGCAGGAGUACUGGAGUGGGGUGCCAUUGCUUCAGGUUACAUGUACUUUAAUUUGCUUCCUAGGGGUCCCAGAGGCUGCUCUCCAGGCGGAGGCGCUAGGCUGGGCUCUCCUGCAGCGGGCCCCCCACGCCAGCCCUGCAGACCUGCAGACCCUUGGGAAGGGCCAUGUCCUCCUCCACGCCACCUGUGUCCUCCACGAGUUCCUCGUCUAAUUGUGUGGAGCAAAAUAAAUUUAUCAGGCAGGCAUUAAACCACUCUUCACAAUUCUGUGAGUAAGUUUGACUAAUUAUCUAAUGCUUUUUAAACUGUCUGAAUUAGAGAGAACUUUGCUUCAGUUUUUUUCUUUACCUGUCUGCUGCUGUAUGCUAAUAUUAAUUAGAUAUUUGUCAUGAAAUUAAUAUAGAGUAAAGAAAAUAAACUACAUGCAUAAGAGGUAGAAAUGUCAUUGCUUUCCCAUGUAUUUUGUUUUUCAUUUCCCAUGUAUUUUGUUUUUUAUUUAAGAAUAUUAUUCUUAGGAAAGUGGCUGUGCAGAAAUGGGGAGGCUUUUAC
rnacentral:lncRNA from 1 species